UCCCGAGCGUUNUCCGGAUUUAUUGGGCGUAAAGCGAGCGCAGGCGGUUAGAUAAGUNUGAAGUUAAAGGCUGUGGCUUANCCAUAGUACGCUUUGGAAACUGUUUAACUUGAGUGCAGAAGGGGAGAGUGGAAUUCCAUGUGUAGCGGUGAAAUGCGUAGAUAUAUGGAGGAACACCGGUGGCGAAAGCGGCUCUCUGGUCUGUAACUGACGCUGAGGCUCGAAAGCGUGGGGAGCGAACAGGAUUAGAUACCCUGGUAGUCCACGCCGUAAACGAUGAGUGCUAGGUGUUAGGCCCUUUCCGGGGCUUAGUGCCGCAGCUAACGCAUUAAGCACUCCGCCUGGGGAGUACGACCGCAAGGUUGAAACUCAAAGGAAUUGACGGGGGCCCGCACAAGCGGUGGAGCAUGUGGUUUAAUUCGAAGCAACGCGAAGAACCUUACCAGGUCUUGACAUCCCGAUGCCCGCUCUAGAGAUAGAGUUUUACUUCGGUACAUCGGUGACAGGUGGUGCAUGGUUGUCGUCAGCUCGUGUCGUGAGAUGUUGGGUUAAGUCCCGCAACGAGCGCAACCCUUAUUGUUAGUUGCCAUCAUUCAGUUGGGCACUCUAGCGAGACUGCCGGUAAUAAACCGGAGGAAGGUGGGGAUGACGUCAAAUCAUCAUGCCCCUUAUGACCUGGGCUACACACGUGCUACAAUGGCUGGUACAACGAGUCGCAAGUCGGUGACGGCAAGCUAAUCUCUUAAAGCCAGUCUCAGUUCGGAUUGUAGGCUGCAACUCGCCUACAUGAAGUCGGAAUCGCUAGUAAUCGCGGAUCAGCACGCCGCGGUGAAUACGUUCCCGGGCCUUGUACACACCGCCCGUCACACCACGAGAGUUUGUAACACCCGAAGUCGGUGAGGUAACCUUUUAGGAGCC
rnacentral:rRNA from 1 species